rnacentral:rRNA from 1 species
UACAGAGGUGGCAAGCGUUGUUCGGAAUUACUGGGCGUAAAGGGCGCGUAGGCGGUCAGGUCAGUCCCGUGUGAAAUCCCUCGGCUCAACCCUUGAAUGCCGGCCGAUACUGUCAGGCUAGAGUCCGGAAGAGGCGAGUGGAAUUCCUGGUGUAGCGGUGAAAUGCGCAGAUAUCAGGAGGAACACCUAUGGCGAAGGCAGCUCGCUGGGACGGUACUGACGCUGAGACGCGAAAGCGUGGGGAGCGAACAGG